rnacentral:rRNA from 1 species
UACGGGGGGGGCAAGCGUUGUUCGGAAUUACUGGGCGUAAAGGGCUCGUAGGCGGCCAAUUAAGUCAGACGUGAAAUCCCUCGGCUUAACCGGGGAACUGCGUCUGAUACUGGAUGGCUUGAAUCCGGGAGAGGGAUGCGGAAUUCCAGGUGUAGCGGUGAAAUGCGUAGAUAUCUGGAGGAACACCGGUGGCGAAGGCGGCAUUCUGGACCGAUAUUGACGCUGAGGAGCGAAAGCCAGGGGAGCAAACGGG